rnacentral:rRNA from 1 species
GAUGAACGCUGACAGAAUGCUUAACACAUGCAAGUCAACUUGAAUAUGGGUUUUUAACUUAGGUUUGGGUGGCGGACGGGUGAGUAACGCGUAAAGAACUUGCCUCACAGCUAGGGACAACAUUUGGAAACGAAUGCUAAUACCUAAUAUUAUGAUAAUAGGGCAUCCUAUAAUUAUGAAAGCUAUAAGCGCUGUGAGAGAGCUUUGCGUCCCAUUAGCUAGUUGGAGAGGUAACGGCUCACCAAGGCGAUGAUGGGUAGCCGGCCUGAGAGGGUGAUCGGCCACAAGGGGACUGAGACACGGCCCUUACUCCUACGGGAGGCAGCAGUGGGGAAUAUUGGACAAUGGACCAAGAGUCUGAUCCAGCAAUUCUGUGUGCACGAUGAAGUUUUUCGGAAUGUAAAGUGCUUUCAGUUGGGAAGAAAGAAAUGACGGUACCAACAGAAGAAGUGACGGCUAAAUACGUGCCAGCAGCCGCGGUAAUACGUAUGUCACGAGCGUUAUCCGGAUUUAUUGGGCGUAAAGCGCGUCUAGGUGGUUAUGUAAGUCUGAUGUGAAAAUGCAGGGCUCAACUCUGUAUUGCGUUGGAAACUGUAUAACUAGAGUACUGGAGAGGUAAGCGGAACUACAAGUGUAGAGGUGAAAUUCGUAGAUAUUUGUAGGAAUGCCGAUGGGGAAGCCAGCUUACUGGACAGAUACUGACGCUGAAGCGCGAAAGCGUGGGUAGCAAACAGG